AGAGUGAACGCUGGCGGUAGGCCUAACACAUGCAAGUCGAACGGCAGCACAGGAGAGCUUGCUCUCUGGGUGGCGAGUGGCGGACGGGUGAGGAAUACAUCGGAAUCUACCUUUUCGUGGGGGAUAACGUAGGGAAACUUACGCUAAUACCGCAUAAGACCUUCGGGUGAAAGCCGGGGACCUUCGGGCCUGGCGCGGAUAGAUGAGCCGAUGUCGGAUUAGCUUGUUGGCGGGGUAAAAGCCCACCAAGGCGACGAUCCGUAGCUGGUCUGAGAGGAUGAUCAGCCACACUGGAACUGAGACACGGUCCAGACUCCUACGGGGAGCAGCAGUGGGGAAUAUUGGACAAGUGGGGCGCG
rnacentral:rRNA from 1 species